rnacentral:misc_RNA from 1 species
UUUGGGGAUGCUGUCAUAGUUGAAGUAAGUUGAUCACUUCCUUCUUUUGAUGGAGUGUUUUAUUUCCUGUUUAUGUUUGACAGUUAGAUAUGUACUGAAACUUCCAAAAGCAUAAGUUAAUUGGCAGCGAGUAAUAUUAUUCAUUUCAAAUCAUUUCUCUAACAAGAUAUAAUUUUAGCACACAUUGUGCUCUUAAAAGAACCAAAAAAUUCAGCUAAGGGUCUUCAUGUUGGAAAAAAACCGGCUGGUAGCCAAAUUCGGUAAUGGUUUCUAUUUUGAUCUGGUGGUUACCUAAACAUAUUUCUAUGGUGAUAUUGAUAUCUAAUUAUUUAUGGAGAACUGAAUGGAUGUUGUGGACGUCAAGAUGGAUAUCACUUCUAUAGAUGUGGCAUGGAGCUAGAGCAAGAUGACAAACUUGAAGCGAAAGGGCUAUCUAAAAGUCGUAACAUAGUUGAUAACAAGCAAUAUUACCCUCCGCACGAUGCUG